GGGUUGUGAGGUUAAGCGACUAAGCGUACACGGUGGAUGCCCUGGCAGUCAGAGGCGAUGAAGGGCGUGCUAAUCUGCGAUAAGCGCCGGUAAGGUGAUAUGAACCGUUAUAACCGGCGAUACCCGAAUGGGGAAACCCAGUGUGACUCGUCACACUAUCAUUAACUGAAUCCAUAGGUUAAUGAGGCGAACCGGGGGAACUGAAACAUCUAAGUACCCCGAGGAAAAGAAAUCAACCGAGAUUCCCCCAGUAGCGGCGAGCGAACGGGGAGGAGCCCAGAGCCUGAAUCAGCAUGUGUGUUAGUGGAAGCGUCUGGAAAGGCGCGCGAUACAGGGUGACAGCCCCGUACACAAAAGCGCAUGUGCUGUGAGCUCGAUGAGUAGGGCGGGACACGUGGUAUCCUGUCUGAAUAUGGGGGGACCAUCCUCCAAGGCUAAAUACUCCUGACUGACCGAUAGUGAACCAGUACCGUGAGGGAAAGGCGAAAAGAACCCCGGCGAGGGGAGUGAAAAAGAACCUGAAACCGUGUACGUACAAGCAGUGGGAGCCCCACCACCAAAGCAUUUGCUGUACCGCGUUGACGGAGCGAAGCGACGUCAAACCGAUAAAACAGCAGUGUAAAGUGAGCCGCAGGGCGCUUUGCGCGACAGCGCAAAGGCAGGCGGUUUCGCGUAGCGAAAGCGAAUGCUUUGGGGUGGGGUGACUGCGUACCUUUUGUAUAAUGGGUCAGCGACUUAUAUUCUGUAGCAAGGUUAACCGAAUAGGGGAGCCGGAGGGAAACCGAGUCUUAAUUGGGCGUUAAGUUGCAGGGUAUAGACCCGAAACCCGGUGAUCUAGCCAUGGGCAGGUUGAAGGUUGGGUAACACUAACUGGAGGACCGAACCGACUAAUGUUGAAAAAUUAGCGGAUGACCUGUGGCUGGGGGUGAAAGGCCAAUCAAACCGGGAGAUAGCUGGUUCUCCCCGAAAGCUAUUUAGGUAGCGCCUCGUGAAUUCAUCUCCGGGGGUAGAGCACUGUUUCGGCUAGGGGGCCAUCCCGGCUUACCAACCCGAUGCAAACUGCGAAUACCGGAGAAUGUUAUCACGGGAGACACACGGCGGGUGCUAACGUCCGUCGUGAAGAGGGAAACAACCCAGACCGCCAGCUAAGGUCCCAAAGUCAUGGUUAAGUGGGAAACGAUGUGGGAAGGCCCAGACAGCCAGGAUGUUGGCUUAGAAGCAGCCAUCAUUUAAAGAAAGCGUAAUAGCUCACUGGUCGAGUCGGCCUGCGCGGAAGAUGUAACGGGGCUAAACCAUGCACCGAAGCUGCGGCAGCGACACUGUGUGUUGUUGGGUAGGGGAGCGUUCUGUAAGCCUGUGAAGGUGUGUCGUGAGGCAUGCUGGAGGUAUCAGAAGUGCGAAUGCUGACAUAAGUAACGAUAAAGCGGGUGAAAAGCCCGCUCGCCGGAAGACCAAGGGUUCCUGUCCAACGUUAAUCGGGGCAGGGUGAGUCGACCCCUAAGGCGAGGCCGAAAGGCGUAGUCGAUGGGAAACGGGUUAAUAUUCCCGUACUUGGUGUUACUGCGAAGGGGGGACGGAGAAGGCUAUGUUGGCCGGGCGACGGUUGUCCCGGUUUAAGCGUGUAGGUGUGUGUUCCAGGUAAAUCCGGUUCACUUUAACACUGAGGCGUGACGACGAGGCACUACGGUGCUGAAGCAACAAAUGCCCUGCUUCCAGGAAAAGCCUCUAAGCAUCAGGUAACAUCAAAUCGUACCCCAAACCGACACAGGUGGUCAGGUAGAGAAUACCAAGGCGCUUGAGAGAACUCGGGUGAAGGAACUAGGCAAAAUGGUGCCGUAACUUCGGGAGAAGGCACGCUGACACGUAGGUGAAGUGAUUUACUCAUGGAGCUGAAGUCAGUCGAAGAUACCAGCUGGCUGCAACUGUUUAUUAAAAACACAGCACUGUGCAAACACGAAAGUGGACGUAUACGGUGUGACGCCUGCCCGGUGCCGGAAGGUUAAUUGAUGGGGUCAGCGCAAGCGAAGCUCCUGAUCGAAGCCCCGGUAAACGGCGGCCGUAACUAUAACGGUCCUAAGGUAGCGAAAUUCCUUGUCGGGUAAGUUCCGACCUGCACGAAUGGCGUAAUGAUGGCCAGGCUGUCUCCACCCGAGACUCAGUGAAAUUGAACUCGCUGUGAAGAUGCAGUGUACCCGCGGCAAGACGGAAAGACCCCGUGAACCUUUACUAUAGCUUGACACUGAACAUUGAGCCUUGAUGUGUAGGAUAGGUGGGAGGCUUUGAAGUGUGGACGCCAGUCUGCAUGGAGCCGACCUUGAAAUACCACCCUUUAAUGUUUGAUGUUCUAACGUGGACCCGUUACCCGGGUUGCGGACAGUGUCUGGUGGGUAGUUUGACUGGGGCGGUCUCCUCCUAAAGAGUAACGGAGGAGCACGAAGGUUGGCUAAUCCUGGUCGGACAUCAGGAGGUUAGUGCAAUGGCAUAAGCCAGCUUGACUGCGAGCGUGACGGCGCGAGCAGGUGCGAAAGCAGGUCAUAGUGAUCCGGUGGUUCUGAAUGGAAGGGCCAUCGCUCAACGGAUAAAAGGUACUCCGGGGAUAACAGGCUGAUACCGCCCAAGAGUUCAUAUCGACGGCGGUGUUUGGCACCUCGAUGUCGGCUCAUCACAUCCUGGGGCUGAAGUAGGUCCCAAGGGUAUGGCUGUUCGCCAUUUAAAGUGGUACGCGAGCUGGGUUUAGAACGUCGUGAGACAGUUCGGUCCCUAUCUGCCGUGGGCGCUGGAGAACUGAGGGGGGCUGCUCCUAGUACGAGAGGACCGGAGUGGACGCAUCACUGGUGUUCGGGUUGUCAUGCCAAUGGCACUGCCCGGUAGCUAAAUGCGGAAGAGAUAAGUGCUGAAAGCAUCUAAGCACGAAACUUGCCCCGAG
rnacentral:rRNA from 1 species